AACAACUGCCCCCUGGCUAUACAGUGAGCUUUAUUCCAGAAGUAGCUUCUUACACACUUUCAGAACCCAGACCCGGACCCAGAUCCAAAAUUUAGCUCCUUUCUUUGGCUGCUGACUUCUUGUGGCAUUGUCUGCUGCCCUGUACUGAACCACUCAUGCAAUGAUCAUAAGACAGCCCUGCUGUGAGUAUUGCCAAAAAUCACCCAAAAAUAUGGAAUCUUGUGCUAUCUGGGCAAAGAAGCUCCAGCUGUACCUUUGGCUCACAAACCUCUUCAAAUCUUCAUACUUUCACCCAGGUCUACAUGGAAAAGCUUCUCACCAUAAAUAUGCUAUACAGAUGAGAUUUGAAGGCAGGAACAUGUGAUGCCACAGGCAGGGUGGAUUGUUAGAAAAUUGUCUGCUGCACUCAGAGCUAUCACCAAUGAGGCUUGCUCCAUUUUCUGCACAGCACAGACAAACAGCUUUAUAAGACUUUAAAUGUAUAGUAGCAGAUGGCCAGGGGAGCAUGGUGGAUUUACUUCUGGUGUGAAUACAGCAAGGAACAUGGUUUGGGGAGAAGUAUCUGAAAUUUGCCCUGCUCUGAAAACAUCUUGAAGAGGACAGCAGUGGUGGAGAUCAAACAGAUGGCUGUCCUGGGUCAGGAAUACUUAAAAAAUGUAAAGGGAAAUCUCCAUCUAUAAAAUAACUGCAAAUCUGGCAACUCCUUGUCCACCUGCCUUGACUCUGAAGAGUUCACCUGGGUUCUCACUCUCUGUAGAGAGCUCACUGUCCUAGCUGGCCUCUUGUUGUACAGAAAUGGUCUCUUUUUAGAAUGGUAACAGAAGACAGAGCCAGUACCAUAAGACACCCAUGACAGCACAGGGGAUGGUGUCAUUGGAACAGAUUGCAGAAUAAACCAUGGUACUGGAAAGGGGCAGACCAGGCUCCAGGGCCAGACUAAUCCUGCGGCCAUAUUCCAAAGAUUUAUUUCUGGAUGAACCUGAGGAACAGCCUGGACAGGAAGAGGCACUGGUGCUGCAGCUGGGUAAGUGGCAGCCAAUGUCUUUAUUACAGGAGAAAUUUCAACUUACAUUUGUAAGUUAAGAUGUCCUGUAUGGUCUGGCUUUAAUUUUAGUCGUAGUAGAAACAAUGCUU